rnacentral:lncRNA from 1 species
UGGGACCUCACCUCUGGAGAUUCCACUUGGGAAAUUGAAGAGGUGAUACGAGAGCAUCAUACCCUAAUCUCUUUCUUGGUAAGUUCAUUUUCGAGGACGAAAAUUUUUGUAGUUGGAGAUAAUGUAACGACACUUUUUUUAUAAAAAGCAGAAACAAUGUGCCCACUAUCACUUUCUUCUUCAUUCUUCCAAACCACUUUCUCUCUCUCUCUCUCCAAUUCUCUUCUCUCCCUCUCUCUUAAUUUCUCUCCCAAUCUUCAUCUAUUUUAGAAUAUGAUCAUACCACACUGUAGCAGAGGAGUUAAGGAACAUUUCUACCCG